GCUGUGAUGGCUGAGUGGUGAAGGUGUUAGACUUGAAAUCUAAGGAGGGCUCCCUGUGCAGGUUCAAAUACUGUUCACAGCA